CAUCAGGCACUUCGGCUCCAACUUCCGGUUUGCGGAAGUGCCGAUUAAUCUGUACAUAGAUUUAGGCAUCAUAUUUAGUAUUAUAUUAGUGCCUUUCCUUUUUCUAUGUUUUAGGUUUCCCUAGGUUUCAUGGGAACCAUUGUGCCAAUCUGGCACUAUAGAUUUUCAUUUUAUUAUGCGCCCGCCGACCGCGGCCAUUUUAAACUACAUUUCCCAUGUGGCAUUGCGGCUAGACUUCCGAAAAGCGGAAGUGCCGCACGCCAUGUGACUAUUUUAAAACAUAUCAAACUACACUUUCCCACCCUCGUUUUUUAAUUAUAAAUAUCAGGAAUGUGUUAUAAAACAGCAGACAAUGUACUGAUAAAGGUAUAAUUAUGUUUUAAAGUUUUUAUAUAUGCUUUUAUUUCUGAUUGGACGGACCAAUUUUGGCGCCAAAUGUAAAUUAGUUAUGCUCCUAUAUAACAUUAUUAAGCCAGG